GAUGAACGCUGGCGGCGUGCCUAAUACAUGCAAGUCGAGCGAACAGAUAAGGAGCUUGCUCCUUUGAAGUUAGCGGCGGACGGGUGAGUAACACGUGGGUAACCUACCUAUAAGACUGGGAUAACUUCGGGAAACCGGAGCUAAUACCGGAUAACAUUUAGAACCGCAUGGUUCUAAAGUGAAAGAUGGUUUUGCUAUCACUUAUAGAUGGACCCGCGCCGUAUUAGCUAGUUGGUAAGGUAACGGCUUACCAAGGCGACGAUACGUAGCCGACCUGAGAGGGUGAUCGGCCACACUGGAACUGAGACACGGUCCAGACUCCUACGGGAGGCAGCAGUAGGGAAUCUUCCGCAAUGGGCGAAAGCCUGACGGAGCAACGCCGCGUGAGUGAUGAAGGGUUUCGGCUCGUAAAACUCUGUUAUUAGGGAAGAACAAAUGUGUAAGUAACUGUGCACAUCUUGACGGUACCUAAUCAGAAAGCCACGGCUAACUACGUG
rnacentral:rRNA from 1 species